UAGGGAAUCUUCCACAAUGGACGCAAGUCUGAUGGAGCAACGCCGCGUGAGUGAAGAAGGUUUUCGGACCGUAAAGCUCUGUUGUUGGUGAAGAAGGAUAGAGGUAGUAACUGGCCUUUAUUUGACGGUAAUCAACCAGAAAGUCACGGCUAACUACGUGCCAGCAGCCGCGGUAAUACGUAGGUGGCAAGCGUUGUCCGGAUUUAUUGGGCGUAAAGCGAGAGCAGGCGGAAGAAUAAGUCUGAUGUGAAAGCCCCUCGGCUUAACCGAGGAAUUGCAUCGGAAACUGUUUUUCUUGAGUGCAGAAGAGGAGAGUAGAACUCCAUGUGUAGCGGUGGAAUGCGUAGAUAUAUGGAAGAAUACCAGUGGCGAAGGCGGCUCUCUGGUCUGCAACUGACGCUGAGGCUCGAAAGCAUGGGCAGCGAACAGGAUUAGAUACCCUGGUAGUCCAUGCCGUAAACGAUGAGUGCUAAGUGUUGGGAGGCUUCCGCCUCUCAGUGCUGCAGCUAACGCAUUAAGCACUCCGCCUGGGGGAGUACGACCGCAAGGUUGA
rnacentral:rRNA from 1 species